rnacentral:rRNA from 1 species
UACGUAGGCAGCAAGCGUUUGUUCGGAGUUACUGGGCGUAAAGGGUGUGUAGGCGGUUCUUUUAAGUUUGGUGUGAAAUCUCCCGGCUCAACCGGGAGGGUGCGCCGAAUACUGAGGGACUCGAGUGCGGGAGAGGAAAGUGGAAUUCCUGGUGUAGCGGUGAAAUGCGUAGAUAUCAGGAGGAACACCGGUGGUGUAGACGGCUUUCUGGACCGUAACUGACGCUGAGACACGAAAGCGUGGGUAGCAAACAGG